CUCAGUGAAACCUCUGCCUUCUGGGCUCAGGUGAUUCUCCCACCUAAGGCUCCCAAGUAGCUGGGACUACAGGUACAUGCCGCCAGGCUUGGCCAAUUUUUUUGUAUUUUUUUUGUAGAGACAAGGUUUUACCAUGUUACUUAGGCUGGUCUCGAACUCCUGGACUCAAGUGAUCCACCCAUCUUGUCCUCUCAAAAUACUGGUAUUACAGGCAUGAGCCACCACACCCAGCCAGGUACAUGUAUCUUGACAGGUGAGUCUCAUAUUACCACAUACUCCCUUCAUAUAAAUAUAGGUACAUGUUCAUGUCCAAUCCAUUCCCCAAAAUGUAGCCAGAGCAGUGUUUUUCAAAGGGCAAAGGGCAAAUGUCAUUCUUUAGUGUCUAAGUGAAGAGUAAAAUACUUCCUCUAACCUGUACUCUUAUCUAGGCUCACCUGACCCAUUUCCCUUCACUCUGCCUGCUCCACCCACUCUGACCCUCUUUCAUUUUGUCUCCUGCCAUCUGACUUUCAUGUGGUAACCACACAUCUGCCCCUCUCAGCAUGGAAUCCUUCCUCAUGGAUGCCUCCCUAAUGAAGUCAAAUAUUUCUAUUUUUAUGUCUGAUAGGAUCAUGAUUCUGUAUGUCAUAGAAAGGAGCAUGGUUAUAAUUUUACAUUUAUAUGUGUAUCCAUUGGUCAACAUCUACUUCCUGGACUAUAAGCUCUGUGGACUAUAACCACGCCUAUUUGGCUUUUUAUGGUAUCCCCCGAACUUAUCCAAUGCUUGGAAAAUAACACUCAAAAACAUUUCAGAGUACUCAGUUCAAAGCACAUAUACUAAAAUUGGAACAAUACGGAGAUUAGCAUGGCCUCUGCACAAGGAUGACACGCAAAUUUGU
rnacentral:lncRNA from 1 species